GGGUUGUGAGGUUAAGCGACUAAGCGUACACGGUGGAUGCCCUGGCAGUCAGAGGCGAUGAAGGACGUGCUAAUCUGCGAAAAGCGUCGGUAAGGUGAUAUGAACCGUUAUAACCGGCGAUGUCCGAAUGGGGAAACCCAGUGCAAUUCGUUGCACUAUCGUUAACUGAAUACAUAGGUUAACGAGGCGAACCGGGGGAACUGAAACAUCUAAGUACCCCGAGGAAAAGAAAUCAACCGAGAUUCCCCCAGUAGCGGCGAGCGAACGGGGAGCAGCCCAGAGUCUGAAUCAGCUUGUGUGUUAGUGGAACGGUCUGGAAAGUCCGACGGUACAGGGUGAUAGUCCCGUACACCAAAAUGCACAGGCUGUGAACUCGAAGAGUAGGGCGGGACACGUGGUAUCCUGUCUGAAUAUGGGGGGACCAUCCUCCAAGGCUAAAUACUCCUGACUGACCGAUAGUGAACCAGUACCGUGAGGGAAAGGCGAAAAGAACCCCGGCGAGGGGAGUGAAAAAGAACCUGAAACCGUGUACGUACAAGCAGUGGGAGCACCUUCGGGUGUGACUGCGUACCUUUUGUAUAAUGGGUCAGCGACUUAUAUUCUGUAGCAAGGUUAACCGUAUAGGGGAGCCGCAGGGAAACCGAGUCUUAACUGGGCGUUAAGUUGCAGGGUAUAGACCCGAAACCCGGUGAUCUAGCCAUGGGCAGGUUGAAGGUUGGGUAACACUAACUGGAGGACCGAACCGACUAAUGUUGAAAAAUUAGCGGAUGACUUGUGGCUGGGGGUGAAAGGCCAAUCAAACCGGGAGAUAGCUGGUUCUCCCCGAAAGCUAUUUAGGUAGCGCCUCGUGAAUUCAUCUUCGGGGGUAGAGCACUGUUUCGGCUAGGGGGUCAUCCCGACUUACCAACCCGAUGCAAACUACGAAUACCGAAGAAUGUUAUCACGGGAGACACACGGCGGGUGCUAACGUCCGUCGUGAAGAGGGAAACAACCCAGACCGCCAGCUAAGGUCCCAAAGUCAUGGUUAAGUGGGAAACGAUGUGGGAAGGCACAGACAGCCAGGAUGUUGGCUUAGAAGCAGCCAUCAUUUAAAGAAAGCGUAAUAGCUCACUGGUCGAGUCGGCCUGCGCGGAAGAUGUAACGGGGCUAAACCAUGCACCGAAGCUGCGGCAGCGACACUAUGUGUUGUUGGGUAGGGGAGCGUUCUGUAAGCCUGCGAAGGUGACCUGUGAGGGUUGCUGGAGGUAUCAGAAGUGCGAAUGCUGACAUAAGUAACGAUAAAGCGGGUGAAAAGCCCGCUCGCCGGAAGACCAAGGGUUCCUGUCCAACGUUAAUCGGGGCAGGGUGAGUCGACCCCUAAGGCGAGGCCGAAAGGCGUAGUCGAUGGGAAACAGGUUAAUAUUCCUGUACUUGGUGUUACUGCGAAGGGGGGACGGAGAAGGCUAUGUUAGCCGGGCGACGGUUGUCCCGGUUUAAGCAUGUAGGCUGAUUGUCCAGGCAAAUCCGGAUAAUCAAGGCUGAGGUGUGAUGACGAGGCACUACGGUGCUGAAGUAACAAAUGCCCUGCUUCCAGGAAAAGCCUCUAAGCAUCAGGUAACAUCAAAUCGUACCCCAAACCGACACAGGUGGUCAGGUAGAGAAUACCAAGGCGCUUGAGAGAACUCGGGUGAAGGAACUAGGCAAAAUGGUGCCGUAACUUCGGGAGAAGGCACGCUGGUGUGUAGGUGAAGUCCCUGCGGAUGGAGCUGAGACCAGUCGAAGAUACCAGCUGGCUGCAACUGUUUAUUAAAAACACAGCACUGUGCAAACACGAAAGUGGACGUAUACGGUGUGACGCCUGCCCGGUGCCGGAAGGUUAAUUGAUGGGGUUAUCCGUAAGGAGAAGCUCUUGAUCGAAGCCCCGGUAAACGGCGGCCGUAACUAUAACGGUCCUAAGGUAGCGAAAUUCCUUGUCGGGUAAGUUCCGACCUGCACGAAUGGCGUAAUGAUGGCCAGGCUGUCUCCACCCGAGACUCAGUGAAAUUGAACUCGCUGUGAAGAUGCAGUGUACCCGCGGCAAGACGGAAAGACCCCGUGAACCUUUACUAUAGCUUGACACUGAACAUUGAGCCUUGAUGUGUAGGAUAGGUGGGAGGCUUUGAAGCGUGGACGCCAGUCUGCGUGGAGCCAACCUUGAAAUACCACCCUUUAAUGUUUGAUGUUCUAACGUUGGCCCCUUACCGGGGUUGCGGACAGUGUCUGGUGGGUAGUUUGACUGGGGCGGUCUCCUCCCAAAGCGUAACGGAGGAGCACGAAGGUUAGCUAAUCCUGGUCGGACAUCAGGAGGUUAGUGCAAUGGCAUAAGCUAGCUUGACUGCGAGCGUGACGGCGCGAGCAGGUGCGAAAGCAGGUCAUAGUGAUCCGGUGGUUCUGAAUGGAAGGGCCAUCGCUCAACGGAUAAAAGGUACUCCGGGGAUAACAGGCUGAUACCGCCCAAGAGUUCAUAUCGACGGCGGUGUUUGGCACCUCGAUGUCGGCUCAUCACAUCCUGGGGCUGAAGUAGGUCCCAAGGGUAUGGCUGUUCGCCAUUUAAAGUGGUACGCGAGCUGGGUUUAGAACGUCGUGAGACAGUUCGGUCCCUAUCUGCCGUGGGCGCUGGAGAAUUGAGGGGGGCUGCUCCUAGUACGAGAGGACCGGAGUGGACGCAUCACUGGUGUUCGGGUUGUCAUGCCAAUGGCACUGCCCGGUAGCUAAAUGCGGAAGAGAUAAGUGCUGAAAGCAUCUAAGCACGAAACUUGCCCCGAGAUGAGUUCUCCCUGAGACUUUAAGUCUCCUGAAGGAACGUUAAAGACGAUGACGUUGAUAGGCCGGGUGUGUAAGCGCAGCGAUGCGUUGAGCUAACCGGUACUAAUGAACCGUGAGGCUUAACCUUACAACGCCGAAG
rnacentral:rRNA from 1 species